rnacentral:rRNA from 1 species
GAUGAACGCUGGCGGCGUGCCUAAUACAUGCAAGUCGAGCGAACAUACGAGGAGCUUGCUCCUCUGACGUUAGCGGCGGACGGGUGAGUAACACGUGGAUAACCUACCUAUAAGACUGGGAUAACUUCGGGAAACCGGAGCUAAUACCGUAUAAUAUAUUGAACCGCAUGGUUCAAUAGUGAAAGACGGUUUUGCUGUCACUUAUAGAUGGAUCCGCGCCGCAUUAGCUAGUUGGUAAGGUAACGGCUUACCAAGGCAACGAUGCGUAGCCGACCUGAGAGGGUGAUCGGCCACACUGGAACUGAGACACGGUCCAGACUCCUACGGGAGGCAGCAGUAGGGAAUCUUCCGCAAUGGGCGAAAGCCUGAGGGAGAAACGCCGCGUGAGUGAUGAAGGUCUUCGGAUCGUAAAACUCUGUUAUUAGGGAAGAACAAAUGUGUAAGUAAAUAUGCACGUCUUGACGGUACCUAAUCAGAAAGCCACGGCUAACUACGUG